rnacentral:lncRNA from 1 species
CGCGCGCAAAGGACGGCCUACGGCCGAGGGGAGUAGGCCGACGUCGGCCGGAGAGGAUAAGAUCUCGGGCGCCAUCAAUGCCGAGCACGCUUCACUGGAUAAGCUCGGAUGGGACACCGGUUUGGCCGUCGAGGGCCGCUCGGUGCGCGAAGGGGACCGGCGGUCGAAGUUCCGUCGACCGGCCACCCCCUCGCCUAUAAAUAGCCCCCGAUGUCGACGACGAAGAGCACGGGCAAGCUCGGAGAUCCUUCACUGAGAGACAUCGGGAAGGAUUGAAGGGCGAGCG